CCAUUUUGGAAAUAACAAGCUUUCGGGUGAUAUCCGGGAGAAGCUCUUCAGCUCAAACAUGACUUUGCUGCAUGUGUUAUUUGAUGGAAACCAGUUGACGGGCAAAAUACCAGAAAGCCUCAGCCUCGUUAAAACGCUAACGGUGUUACGCCUUGAUAGGAAUAAACUAACUGGAGAUAUUCCUUCAAGUCUUAAUAAUCUCACAAUUCUUCAAGAACUGUACUUAGCCAAUAACAGAUUUACAGGUACUCUUCCAAAUUUAACCAGGUUAACUAGUCUCUACACAUU